UGCCGCAGUCUGCCAAAUCUCGUCCGGGUGGACGGGAACGGGGGAUCCAAUCUUUAGGGGCGUAUCACCGGGAAACCGGCGUAGGGCAACUCUUCGGCCCAAGCCCGACAGCUAACCUCGUAGGCAUCGAAGGGAAAGUGC
rnacentral:sRNA from 2 species